AUACGAGGGGUGCAAGCGUUGUUCGGAAUUACUGGGCGUAAAGGGAGCGUAGGCGGAGAUUCAAGCGGAUUGUACAAUCCCGGGGCCCAACCCCGGCUCUGCAGUCCGAACUGGAUAUCUUGGAUAGUUCAGGGGCAGGCGGAAUUCCUGGUGUAGCGGUGGAAUGCGUAGAGAUCAGGAAGAACACAGAUGGCGAAGGCAGCCUGCUGGGGACUUAUCGACGCUGAGGCUCGAAAGUGCGGGUAGCAAACAGGAUUAGAUACCCUGGUAGUCCGCACCGUAAACGAUGCAUACUGGGUGUCCGGGGGUUCCCCCGGGUACCGUAGCCAACGCGUUAAGUAUGCCGCCUGGGGAGUACGUACGCAAGUAUGAAACUCAAAGGAAUUGACGGGG
rnacentral:rRNA from 1 species